CUGUCAUCCCUCAGUUCAUGCAGAAGUUCUUCUAGAAAGCUCUCUGAUGUCGUACUGGACAAGAACUGAGAUGGGCUGAGCAAGAAAGCAGGGAUUCUUCGAGACCAGAACCGGAUCAUACGACCAAAGCGACCUUUUGAAAACUCUUCCGGUUUGGAUUUUUUCAUUUACAAUAUUACCAGACUUCCGAUUUUGAGACGGCGGUGUCGUCACUGUGCCAAGAGAGUCUAGCUGCAGCUGCUGUGGAGCGUAACACAAAAGACAGGAAAUGGAAUAAUAAAUUUAUCACAAUAUUACUGCAUAACCCUAUUACCUUACGAUCUAAAUUCUUUUGGAAUUCCCAGUUUGAAAAUAUCAAUUGGAAUAUGUCAUGGACUUUAAGCAAUAAAUAUUGUGUAACUAAUAAAGUAAAAGAAAUUCAAUUUAAAAUUUUACACAUAAUCUAUCCCACAAACACACAGUUAAAGAAAUACAGAAAUGAAAUAUCUGAUCUUUGUUCCUUUUGUGUGCACUUGUUUUAUGAUUGUUUACAUGUCAGAUACUUUUGGAUUGAGAUUGACAUUGUCUGGCUGUAAAAAAAAUUUAGAUAGGAAAGAUAUCCUAUUCUAUUAUGGGAAAAACAACUUAAAUGGUAAUUAUGUUUUUAUUUUAAAUCUGUUUAUUUUAUAUGGUAAAUUUUAUGUUCACAAAUGCAAAUGAUCCUCAAAGAAGCCUAAUAUAUGCCAGUUUAAGUUGGAAUUGGAAAUUUUAUUUUAGCACGUUGGAUGGACUUAAAAAAAACCGAAAACCUGUAAAAACUAUCAGUUUAUAUAAGGCCCUGAAGAAUCUUUUGUAAAUGAGAAAGAAUAUGUACACCCUUUUUUUUAAAUGCAAUUUGUAUUUGUUAUGUGUUUUACAUUGUUUGUAUACCGUUAAAAAAGCAAUUAAAAAAAAAAAAGCUGAGUUUUACAGGAAGUGGAGUUUAACCGGAAAUGGAGCGUUUUACAGGACGUCCCUCCUUAAAAUGAUUAGGAGUGGAGUUUUACGGGUAGUCCGUCCUCAAAAUAAAUACGCAAAUUAACUUCUUAGUGUAGUGUUUACGGAGGUUACAAUGAAUUUCGGAGGAGAAAUAUUCCCGUCUUUCCUUUACAUGUAGCUUUGUACUUUUGACAGAACAUUAUUUUUACCAUAUAUGUUGCUAUUGUUAGACAUUUUCAACGUGUGUGUGCGCAAAACAUACUGCAAUGUAAUAUUUUAAUCAGCAUGCAGUAAUGAAUUGUGUCUAUUAUUAUUAAUACAUGUAUAAUUUGUAGGGUUUGUUUGAGAAAAUAUUAAGGUGUCUUGGUACUUCGGCAAAACUUCGGCUCUCCGUAGCGUUACUUAAAUUUUUGCUCUUGUGCAAUUCAGUCUUUCUGUCGUGUGUACCUACAUACGUAUAUCGAUCAUUUUUGCCUUUAUGACAAAUGUACCAGAAGGAAAUGAAUUAUAUCUAUAAUGUGGGACUGCUAUUAAAUCGACGAAUAUUGAAAACUCA